rnacentral:pre_miRNA from 1 species
AAUGGAAGAGCUGGGUCAAAUGGUGGUUCCACUCCAGGUUUUCUAAGAAAUCUCCACACUGCUUUUCAUAGUGGCUGCACCAAUUUUCAAUCCCAUCAGCAAU